rnacentral:rRNA from 1 species
GCGAACGCUGGCGGCAGGCUUAACACAUGCAAGUCGAGCGGGCGUAGCAAUACGUCAGCGGCAGACGGGUGAGUAACGCGUGGGAACAUACCUUUUGGUUCGGAACAACACAGGGAAACUUGUGCUAAUACCGGAUAAGCCCUUACGGGAAGAUUAUCGCCGAAGAUUGGCCCGCGUCUGAUUAGCUAGUUGGUGAGGUAAUGGCUCACCAAGGCGACGAUCAGUAGCNGGUCUGAGAGGAUGAUCAGCCACAUUGGGACUGAGACACGGCCCAAACUCCUACGGGAGGCAGCAGUGGGGAAUAUUGGACAAUGGGCGCAAGCCUGAUCCAGCCAUGCCGCGUGAGUGAUGAAGGCCCUAGGGUUGUAAAGCUCUUUUGUGCGGGAAGAUAAUGACGGUACCGCAA